AGUGAACGCUGGCGGUAGGCCUAACACAUGCAAGUCGAACGGCAGCACAGUAAGAGCUUGCUCUUACGGGUGGCGAGUGGCGGACGGGUGAGGAAUACAUCGGAAUCUACUUUUUCGUGGGGGAUAACGUAGGGAAACUUACGCUAAUACCGCAUACGACCUACGGGUGAAAGCAGCGGAUCUUCGGACCUUGCGCGAUUGAAUGAGCCGAUGUCGGAUUAGCUAGUUGGCGGGGUAAAGGCCCACCAAGGCGACGAUCCGUAGCUGGUCUGAGAGGAUGAUCAGCCACACUGGAACGGAGACACGGUCCAGACUCCUACGGGAGGCAGCAGUGGGGAAUAUUGGACAAUGGGCGCAAGCCUGAUCCAGCCAUACCGCGUGGGUGAAGAAGGCCUUCGGGUUGGAAAGCCCUUUUGUUGGGAAAGAAAAGCAGCAGGUUAAUACCCCGCUGUUCUGACGGUACCCAAAGAAUAAGCACCGGCUAACUUCGUG
rnacentral:rRNA from 1 species